AAGAGAGAAAGAGCAAAAAUCAUAAGUACAUGCUGACAUUAAAAUCUGCUUUGCUCUUUUUUUCUUUUUCUUUUUUUUUUUUUUUUUUUU
rnacentral:ribozyme from 14 species